rnacentral:lncRNA from 1 species
CACUCUUGACUUCACUUCUUUCAAAUAUCUCCCAUGUUGUCACCUUCCUCCUAAACACUAAACGUAAUUUUCAUCAAUGACAAACCCAAGAAGCCUCUUCACCAUUCAAUCUCUAACAAAUGCAUCUCUUUAUUCCCAUUUUACCCUAAAGAAACCUUCAAAAUUACUUAGCUACAAGAAGCUUACUUUUUGUUAUUUCAAAGUCCUCUGCUCCUCUCAACCUUUAAAAACUCCACAUAAUUCAAAUCUAACUUCUACCCUUGUCGCAAUUUUACGUGUAAUACCCGAUUGGGCUGACAAAAUUCAAAAAGAGGGUAUAAGAAAGAAGAGAUCUUUAUACAAUCAUGAAACUUGGGUGCAAUAUAGAAGUUCUUUAAGGCAUCUUAGGCACUUGUUUUCAAGCUUUAAUUCAUGGGUCGUUUUGUCAUUGAUCCCUUCGGUUGUAGCAUUUACUUCAUUUGCUUUUUUGAUUUCUAGUUAUAAUUCAGCAGUUUUAUAACAUUGGUUGCCUGAGUUAUUUCCCCUGUUAAGAGCUAGUCCACAACCAUAUCAGUUGACAGCUCCAGCUCUGGUGCUACUUUUAGUGUUUAGGAUCGAGGCAUCGUAUGCAAGGUUUGAAAUAGGGAAGAAGGCUUAGACUAAUGUGAUUGCUGGAACUAAUGAUUUUGCUAGGCAGAUGAUUACUGCUUGUGUUGACAAGAGAAAUGGUGUGCUCAAAGAGGCACUUUUGCAGUAUAUCAUGGCAUUUCCAGUUGGCUUGAAGGUUAGUAUGUUGGUAUAGUUAAUCAACUUGUCUUUAAGAUAAUCUUUUUUUUUUUCUGAAAAAAAAAUUUGGGGUAGGUGAUUACAAGGUUGGAAUCGAACCUUACCAACAAGGUAAAAGUGUAGAUAGCCAAUUAACUGAGCUACUAAUAUUCCCCCCUCAUUGUAGUCUUUAUAUACAUAUCAUACAUUUUAUUUGUGUCCUUAGAAUACGGACAGAGCCAAGUAGGGCUAUGGGUUUCAUCAAUGAACCUCUUUCAUACUGUUUAUACAUGGUUAAAAUUAUUUCUUUAUGUAUAUAUAGUAGAUAAUGAAUCCUCUUUGUCUUCAUUGUGUGUUUUCUUCUUCGUAUUUUGAGCUAUCUCAGUGAAAAUUCUAGCUCCGCCACUUGCCUUAGAUUAUUCUAAAUUCAUUCUUGGUAUUGGGUUGCAAUUGGUCCUUGCACUAGAGGCGGUUCAGGAUUUAAGCUCUAUGGCUUUAACCUUUUGAUAUUGAACCCAUUAUUCUAAUGUUACAGGUUCAUGUAUUUCUUGCAAUUUUAGUAAACAUUACACUAAAUUUAUGCUCUACACCAAAAGUUCUAGGUUCAUAUAAACCUUUUAUUAACAAGCUACAUCUGCCCCCGCCUGCACUCCCUAUAAGAGAGAAAUUCAUGUCAAUUGUUAUCAAUAUGGCAUUGCUUUAAUUAGUUCUGCUGUGAAAUGGAAAAAGGGAUGAGAUAACACAACUUCAGUAAAUCUCUAUUUACAAAUGAAAGUAGGAAUAAUCUUCUAUCUGCUGGCUAAUGCAAUGAUCAGAUAGGUGAUGCCAAAAUUGCAAAUACCACGUGUACAAAUAUAGAUUCAUCUUUCAAAGAAACUUUCUAACAUUCUUAGGGAAACUUUUCAAGCUAGAAAAAGUACAGGGUAUUACAAUAUCUCCCCCUUGAGAAUAUUCAUCCUUGAAUGAGACUGACAGUAAGGGGAAGAACGUAAGCCAACGUAUAUACUGAACAUAAAUAACUAAAACAUGAUCUCAUGAAUGACAUGAUUGAAGAGUUGAAUAUAACAUACUGAACAUGCUAAUCUAAUGCAUAAUUGAUAAGUUGAAUUCAUACAUAUCUGAUGCAUGGCUGAUAAUUGACUCGUGAAUACAUAACUGAAUAUUCUAAUGAACUGAAUUUCUCAUAGUGAUAAUGCAUGUCUAAUGCAUAAUUACAUGCCUGAACUGAUAUAUGAAUGCAUUGCUUAAUAUGCAAGGGUACUUAGUACCAAGUUUGUAAUGGUAAUUUGAAUAAGGAACUGAGUAAGUUUAAGAAAACUGUUAUGUGACUGAAAAGCACUGAAAACCCCAUGAUUAUGCUAGAAGUAUGCAUGAAUUGAACCUAAGAACAUGACUGAGGCUGAAACACGAUACAUACACUGAAUUUUAUGAACUGAACUAAGCCUCUGAAUACUUUGCCCAUAGCUGAGGUUGGGACUUUGAAGGUCAACUUAUGAGUACCCUCUUUUCUAUAUUGGAUUAUUCAUGCGAAGGGAAACUAAACUUAAGACAUGACAGCGUUGAGGAAAUAAUGGGGUAUCUCCCCCUUGGGGCACUAUGUCCCUCUAAGAAUGUUUACCUUACUGAAAUACUAGGGUGAUGCACAGUGCAUCCACAGACUGAUUCAUGACUGAGAGUUUAAAUUUGAGCCUAUGCUCACUGGCACGAUAUGGAUACUGAAUGAAAGGAAACUGUUCCUAAAACAUCUCAUAGCCUACUGCACAUAAGUGUGGUGCACAACAUACACAUAUACAAGAGUCUACUAGAUGCGGCUUUUCAGACUUUCAAGGACUCUAUUGAACCUUAGGCUCUGAUACCAAGAUUGUAACGCCCCGAUUUUCUAAACCAAAAUACUACACAGCUCAUGACCCCAAAGGACCACAAGCUAACCCAUGACUGAUAUCUGUAACUGAGCACUGAAAAAUAUACUAUAAAUAUAUGGAAACAUGAACUGAAAGGCCAUAAGGUUCAAAACUGAAUGAACAUUUGAUAAACAAUGUCCGAAUAUCGUAUAACAAUACCAAAUAAAUCUGAAAUAACUAUUUAACAUGCUAUAGUCUGAAAGCCUCUAAACUGUCUGAAUAAGGAGUUGAUGGGAUAUGUCCCCAACUAACUCCAUCUACUGAAGUAAACUGGAAACUAAAAUAGUAAUGUAAUCAUCAUGUCCUCGAAAGAUGAGGACUCACUGCUAACUCUGAUCGCUAAACUGGGAUGCUACUGGUUCUCUAGAGCUCGUGCUUCUAAACUAUGGUAUAAGACACCAUAGCAUAAAUGUGUCAGUACUUUGAAUUUACUAGUAUGCAAGUGAGGUAGGCUGAAUACAAUAGGUUCAUAUGCAUGAACAAUACUAACUGACAAAGUAACAUGAACGUGAGAAUACAUGUAUGCAUAUGUAACUGUAAUUAAGAUCAUGAUAGGACUAAAUACUGAGUUCUUACUGCUGAGUCUAUUGACAUUGAUAUCUGAGUCACUGAUAAGUAAGAAACAGAUACUGUAUUACUGAAUACUGAGGGACUGAUACUAUGUUACUGAUACAUGGAUAACUGUGUGUCUGACAGUUCUGAUUAUGAAGAACUGGUCUGGUUAACUGUAUCUGAUAGUCCUGAAACUGAAUACUAAUAACAUGAGUUUUGAUAACUGAUAUAACUAAUAACAUGAGUGACUGUAUCUAACAGUCCUGCAUCUAAUGGAAUUAGAUGAGUUCCAUACUGUAUCUGAGUAACUGAAUCUAAGAUCAGUUCUAUCUGGCGGGUGAUCUCUAAAUCUGAUGAUACUGUUAUUGAUUGACCAUAGUUGUGAUCAGUCCUGUCUAAUGGGUGAUCCCGGAGUCUAUUUAUAAUGAUAAAGAGUGACUGUAUCGGACAGUCCGAAAUAUGUACUACUAAACUGAAUUGACUGUAUCUGACAGUCCUGAUUCUUUAACUGAAACUAUGGGAUGCAUUUAUCUAACUGACAUGCCCUAUACUAAGCUAACUGGGGUCCAACAUGAAACCUUAGCUGGAAGGGUGUCAGUACCGUGCCACUGGUAAAGACAACUGUUGUGGAGUCGAUCCUAAUCUAAUGGGUGAUCCCUGGGUUUAGUCCUCUACAUAUAAAUGCUCUAAUGGGUGAUCCCUGAGUAUGUCAGUCCUAUCUAUCGGGUGACAUCUCAUACCUACGCUGGCUACGUAGUUCUGGAACUUAGGGAUUGCAUCUACGGAUCUCAAUUCUAUCUAGCGAGUGAGUCCCCAUCCCUAGGCUCGCUCGGUGCUGAAUCCUACUCCCAUUUAAAAGACACUGAACUGAUUAACUAAACUGAGAUGAUUAACUGAACUGGACCAAUUAACUGAGUUGAACUGAUUAACUUAACUGGAAUGAUACUAGUGGUGUUGUCUAGCGAAGCUAAACUGAAUUUACUGAGUUUCGUUGACUGACGGAAUGUACUAAGUUCUAAGGACUGACUAAGAAUAAUGAAGUUACUAAGAUUGACUGGGAAUACUGAGGUUACUGAGAUCACUGAUAUUAUUGAACUACUGAGACUUCUGAUAUUCUUGAGUCGCAUGACUGACUGAGUUCUAUGGAUCAUAGAUUGACUGAGAGUAUCAUGAAAACAUGACUUGGCUCUAGGCACAAAGCUAAAUAUUUGGGUACAAGUACCCCCAGGACUCGAUGAGAAGAAACUGACAUGGCAUAGCUUACUUGAACACAUGACCAACAAUACAUUUCAUAAUUCAUAUAUUGAAGUACUUCAUCAAACAUGAGAUAUGCAUAAACUUGUACAUACAUGGGGAUUUCAUGAUAUCAUACUAGUAGGGCAUUGUUCCUUCAUCUAGGAAUUUAAUCAUACACAUGGUAGGCAUGACACAUUUAGACAACAUUAUAUAACAAUCAAACAUCAUGAUUUAUAUCUAAUUUCAUCAUCCAAGGGUUUUAAUCCUAGGUUUACAUGAAUCUACAUCAUUACUAAUCGAUUACAUAUGUAAUUUAUCACCAAACAUGGAUUAGAAUGCAAUUAGUCAUUAUCAACAUGAACAAGAGUAAUCUAAUCAUGAAAUUCAUAAAGAAAAUCCAUAACUUGAAUUUAGAAAAGAGAUUCUUGGACUUCAUGGACGAAAGGAGUCCAUGAAUGAACACUACGCAUACCUUAGCUUAUAAUUCUACGAAGAUUGAUGGAGAGAUUCUUGAAAUUUGAUGGUGAAUUCCCUUGGAAUUGAACCUUCUAUGAAAACCCUAGGGCUUUUUCUUGAGAGGUUUUGAGAGUAAUUGAGUAUAAGCUGCUGAAUUAUGGCAAAAUCUCGUGUUAUAAGGCUUAUAUAGGGUGGAAAAUUGACCCUUUUAACCCUAGGACACGUCUUUAAUUUCUGAGAAAAUUUCCCAGUUUUCAUCCUUCGCGUGACGCGCCACUAUUGCGCCAAGUCACUGGAAAGUGAUAAAUGAGAAAUUGCACAGUGGCGCGACGUGGAGCUAUCGCAUAGCCACCUUUUCUAUGACCUGGAAGUUUGGCGCGAUGCGCCACUAUCGCCGAGCAACACUAGAAAUUGACAACACUGAAAAAAGCUUUAACUCUUCACUCGGGUGUCGGAUUUGGGCGAAUUUGAUAUCGAUGGAAAGCUUAUUCGAUUUUCCACAUGAUAAAAACUGAAAAUCUUAAAAAUAAAAUGUGAACAAAAGUAGAUUCAUCUUUCAAAGAAAGCUCCUAACAUUCUUGGGGAAACUUUUCAAGCCAGAAAAAGUACAGGGUAUUACAGCAUUGGACAGUCCUUAAUAAAAUGCUCAAGACUUCCAUAUCUGUGACAAACUUCAAUAUUACCACUCUUUUUUCUGCUACUUCUUUUUCUUUGAAAUUGAUCACUUUUUUUCAUAGCUUUAACAAUUCUUUUUGCCAAAUAGGCAACAUCGGUGUCUUCUUCACUUGAAUUAGAUUUUACCGCCUUCAGUGCCAAAGAUUUUUAUCUCUUAGCUUUCUUAUUAUCUUGUCUUUGCUUCUUUUUGAGCUCACAAUUCUUUAAAUUACCAAUGAGCUCAACCAUAGUGAGAGUCUUCAGGUUUCUUACCUCAGUUAUAGCAUCCACUUUUCUUUCCCAAAACUUAGGAAGAACACGUAGAAUUUUUCACACUUGUUUAUAUAAAGCAAUCACUUCUCCUUAGCAGUGUAGCUCAUUUGUGAUAGAAGUGAAACUAUAUGUAUUUCUCUAAUUCUAUCUCCUUCUUUAAUGGUCAAGGUUUCAUACUGAGUAGUCGACAUGUCAAAUUUAGAAUCCUUCACAUGAGUUGUUCCCUCAUGAGCUAUCUUCAGGGAAUCCCAGAUUUCUUUAGCAUUUUCACAAGAAGAAAUCCUUAUACUCAUUAGGUCCUAUGCCACAGACAAGCAAUUUCUUUGCCUUGUAAUUCUUUUCAUUAUACUGUCUCUUGUUUUUGACAACCAUCCUUGUUAUGUCUCUUUCUUUGACCUCUUUAACAGGAAUAUGAAGGCCAUUAAGUAUUAUAUCCAUCAGCUCAUUGUCCUCAACCAUAAUGAAGUUAAAUAUCCUGAUUUUCCAUCACCCAUAGUACUGCCCAUUAAAUAGGGGUGGUCUAGUGGUAGAUUGCCCUUAUUUCAAUUAGGUGGAGGAUCUCUGAUCAAUAAAUCACUCUAAGUAUGAACUUUUUAGAGUGUCCUUGCUCUGAUACCAAUUGAUGAGACUGGGGGUUGCACCAAACUAUGAGGGACCAGGUCCCUUAAAGUCAGUCACGGACAAUAACAUAGUGAAGUUGUAAGGAAGCUAAAACUUUUCAAGAACUUAAAAACACAAAGAUUUAACGUGGUGACCUCCUUGCUCAAGGGAGGAAAAAACACAGCUUACCCUCACAAGUACUUCAACAAUCCACUAAAAUCAACCUCUUGAUUACAGCUUUGAUUUAAACCUAACUCUAAGCUCCACCUGCUUGUAAUAACUCAACUAUAAACCUACCUUGACAACUCUGCCAAGAACACACCUCAAUACUGAUUAACUCUAACCAAUAUUGAACUCAUGUAACUCUACCUAAGCACUCUCAAGAAAAACAAGGAAAACAUUACUGUUAUAUCAUGAGUAAUUCAAUUACAAACCAAGACUCAACUCAAGAACACACUCUCUGAGCAUACAAAGAAUGAAACUUGAGCAAUGUUGCAAAAUUGAGUUUUCGCCUCUUUCACUCUUUGAAUAAUCAGGAUUAUGAAAACUACUUAUUGAAAAUCAUUAUUUUCUUUUUAUAGUGGAAUAAUGAUAAGGGUUGGCCAAGUGUCUUGACUGGUACACAUCUCACAUGUGCAAUUUGUUACACUAGACGACAAAACUGUGCAGGUCAUGUGACAGCUAUAUAUUUCUAUGAAGACCUAGGGACCUGGUUCCUUGUUGUCAGCUGAUCGUCAUUAAAACAAAAUAUGGCAAGGCUAAUACCUUUUGGGCUUUGGCCAAUUUUUUCUGCGAAUAUUUAUUUUUUCUUUCAAUAAACUGACCACAAUGUGGUCCUUCAAUUAAAAAAAAACUGAAACUAUAUCAAUGAAAAAAAAACUAAAACUAUAGUUAAAAAGAAACAAUGAGGUGCAUUAAAGCUCACACAAUACAUAGAGUUCAGGAAAGAGCCCGGCUUUAAUGUACGAUGCCUUGCCUUGAGCUGAAAUUAUAGCUGCAUUUAGUAAUUAGCAACUAAACUAUAGUGCUUUCUGAAAUUUUCUCUAAUUUAAAUGUAACUAAAAAUUACACAAAUACACAACUUAUGUUUAUAAUAUUACAAAAAAUCCCAACUCCUUAAACAUAUUACAAAAAUCUCAAUAUAUACACAGAAUGUUAUGUAUAUGUCGGCUAUAUUAUGUAUAUUAAUAGAGAGAAAAUAAAGUAAUUAAAAAAGUAAGAGUGAGUGUAAUUACUUAAAAAAAAAAUUAGUAUUUAUAUUAUUUAUACUUAAUGUAACCCUAGGCUAAUGAGUCAAUGACGUUGACUCACCACGAUGUGGCACUAGCAUUUCCCAUUUUUAUUUUAUCCUAUAUUUUGGGUUCAAGUGAAAAAAGGAGAUUCACAAAUUAACUGUUACCAACCACCUAAUUAUCCACCAAGUUCUGUUCUAACAGCACUCUUGACUUCACUUCUUUCAAAUAUCUCCCAUGUUGUCACCUUCCUCCCAAACCCUAAACCUAAUUUCCAUCAAUGACAAACCCAAGAAGCCUCUUCAACAUUCAAUCUCCAACAAAUGCAUCUCUUUCUUCCCAUUUUACCCUCAAGAAACCUUCAAAAUUACUUAGCUACAAGAAGCUUACUUUCUGUUCUUUCAAAGUCCUCUGCUCCUCUCAACCUUCAAAAACUCCACAGAAUUCAAAUCUAACUUCUAC